UACGAAGGGUGCAAGCGUUAAUCGGAAUUACUGGGCGUAAAGGGUGCGUAGGCGGUUGUUUAAGUCUGUCGUGAAAUCCCCGGGCUCAACCUGGGAAUGGCGAUGGAUACUGGACAGCUAGAGUGUGUCAGAGGAUGGUGGAAUUCCCGGUGUAGCAGUGAAAUGCGUAGAGAUCGGGAGGAACACCAGUGGCGAAGGCGGCCUUCUGGACCAAUACUGACGCUCAUGCACGAAAGCGUGGGGAGCAAACAGG
rnacentral:rRNA from 1 species